AUUGAACGCUGGCGGCAUGCCUUACACAUGCAAGUCGAACGGUAACGGGCCUUCGGGUGCCGACGAGUGGCGAACGGGUGAGUAAUACAUCGGAACGUGCCCGAUCGUGGGGGAUAACGAGGCGAAAGCUUUGCUAAUACCUCAUACGAUCUAUGGAUGAAAGCAGGGGACCGCAAGGCCUUGCGCGGACUGAGCGGCCGAUGGCAGAUUAGGUAGUUGGUGGGAUAAAAGCUUACCAAGCCGACGAUCGGUAGCUGGUCUGAGAGGAUGAUCAGCCACACUGGGACUGAGACACGGCCCAGACUCCUACGGGAGGCAGCAGUGGGGAAUUUUGGACAAUGGGCGCAAGCCUGAUCCAGCCAUGCCGCGUGCAGGAUGAAGGCCUUCGGGUUGUAAACUGCUUUUGUACGGAACGAAAAGCCUUCUUUUAAUACAGGAGGGUCAUGACGGUACCGUAAGAAUAAGCACCGGCUAACUACGUG
rnacentral:rRNA from 1 species